rnacentral:tRNA from 1 species
GGGGUUGUAGCUCAAUGGUAGAGCACUCACCUAGCACGUGUGAAGCCCUGGGUUUAAUUCUCAACACCA